GGAUGCGAUCAUACCAGCACUAAAGCACCGGAUCCCAUCAGAACUCCGAAGUUAAGCGUGCUUGGGUGAGAGUAGUACUAGGAUGGGUGACCUCCUGGGAAGUCCUCAUGUUGCAUUCC
rnacentral:rRNA from 1 species